rnacentral:rRNA from 1 species
GAUGAACGCUGGCGGCGUGCCUAAUACAUGCAAGUCGAGCGAACAGACGAGGUGCUUGCUCCUCUGACGUUAGCGGCGGACGGGUGAGUAACAAGUGGAUAACCUACCUAUAAGACUGGGAUAACUACGGGAAACAGGAGCUACUACCGGAUAAUAUUCUGAAUCGCAUGGUUCAUUAGUGAAAGACGGUUUUGCUGUCACUUAUAGAUGGACUCGCGGCGGAUGAGCUAGUUGGUAAGGUAACGGCGUACCAAGGCGACGAUGCGUAGCCGACCUGAGAGGGGGAGCGGCCGCACUGGAGGGGGGGCACGGCCCAGACUCCUACGGGGGGCGGCAGUAGGGAGUCUUCCGCAAUGGGCGAAAGCCGGACGGAGCAGCGCCGCGGGGGGAAGGAAGGUCUUCGGAGCGUAAGACUCUGUUAUUGGGAAAGAACAAAGGUGUAAGUGACUAUGCACGUCUUGACGGUACCUGAACAGAAAGCCACGGCUAACUACGUG